AACGAACGCUGGCGGCAGGCUUAACACAUGCAAGUCGAACGAGAUCUUCGGAUCUAGUGGCAGACGGGUGAGGAACACGUGGGAACAUCCCUUUCAGUUCGGAAUAACGUUGGGAAACUAACGCUAAUACCGGAUACGUCCUUCGGGAGAAAGAUUUAUCGCUGAAAGAUUGGCCCGCGUCUGAUUAGCUAGUUGGUGAGGUAACGGCUCACCAAGGCUACGAUCAGUAGCUGAUCUGAGAGGAUGAUCAGCCACAUUGGGACUGAGACACGGACCAACCUCCAACGGGAGGCAGCAGUGGGGAAUAUUGGACAAUGGGCGCAAGCCUGAUCCAGCCAUGCCGCGUGAGUGAUGACGGCCUUCGGGUUGUAAAGCUCUUUUGUCCGGGAAGAUAAUGACUGUACCGGAAGAAUAAGCCCCGGCAAACUUCGUGCCAGCCGCCGCGGUAA
rnacentral:rRNA from 1 species